AACAAUACUAUUAUUAUUAUUUACUGUGCUUAUGGUUUUUUUUAUUAUUAUGUUGGCGGCAGUGUACGUGUCAGCAACGUCUGGUCGGGCACCACUGUCCAGAAUACGGCUUUCGUCCAAGUCGUCGGUUAACUUUAUAUAAAUGUUUUUUUUGUUUUUAUGGCAACUGCCGAGCAGUCAUCAGCUCUAAAAUCUUUUUUCUUUUACUUUUGUCGCAGCCGAGUCUGGUCAAAGCGCAUGUUUUUCUCGUUCUUGUCGCAGCCGAGUCUGGUCAAUUAAUCAAAUUUGUAUUCAUUAUUAAAGCGUUAAGUAGUCAAAUCGAAGACCAAUGUGAAGCACGUUGCAUUUUUUAUUAUUAUUAUAUUUCAUUUUUUGGUCGCAGUCACUGAAGAUUCUGGUAGGACAUUGUUUUUCUUGUAUUGGCGGUGCCUUACUGCAAAGAGUGCAUCAGUCGGAAUUUGAGUCAUUUAUUGGGUUUGCUCUUGUCAUUGUGUGGCUAGCGGUGUUGAAGCACAUGUGCGGGAUCACACCUGUUAAUUUUUCUUAUUUGUAUAAUCGUUUAACUACAGAUCCCGGCAUUGCUCAACCCAUAAUCAUACCUGGGUAAGUGGUGCACCACUAUUAUUUAUUAUUAUU